UACGUAGGGUGCGAGCGUUUGUCCGGAAUUAUUGGGCGUAAAGAGCUCGUAGGCGGUCUGUCGCGUCUGCUGUGAAAACUCAGGGCUUAACCCUGAGCUUGCAGUGGGUACGGGCAGACUAGAGUGCGGUAGGGGAGACUGGAAUUCCUGGUGUAGCGGUGAAAUGCGUAGAUAUCGAGAGGAACACCUGCGGCGAAGGCGGGUAGCUGGGCCGACACUGACGCUGAUGCGCGAAAGCCAGGGGAGCGAACGGG
rnacentral:rRNA from 1 species